rnacentral:miRNA from 1 species
ACCUGUCUGUGGAAAGGAGCUA